UAAAGAAAAAAAUCUGGCAAUGAAGUUAACACUUUAAUUAUAAAAAACAUUUCAGAAAUUUACUCUAAAACAGAUCAGACUUGAUAAAUCCAACCCCAUCAAUCCAUUACCCACUGGAGACCUUCCAGUGCUGGGCCCCUACUGGCCCCUUCUGUCAAAAUUCACAUUCUAAACCCCGCAACCUUAACAUCAGGGCAGGCAAAAGAGGUUCUAAAUCCUUCAGCAGCCCAUCACUUUCAUCUUAACUUGUAUCAAGUUUUGGAAUGGAAUGGGGGAAUAGGAAUUAUGAUCUAAUUCAUUCCUUUUGAAAGGAUGCCAGCCUAGUUAGUGGCAGUUAAUUAGCACUGUCAAUUUCAGAGAACAUAGGCAUUUUUGUUGUUGUUGAGAACAUAGGUAUUUUUAAUGAAAUGUACUUUGCUAUUGAAUUACCUCACACAAUUACCUCUUAAAAUUAUCUAGCAUUCCUUUAAAUUAAAGUUUCAGAGAAUGGACAGCUCUGCCGCUUUCCUACCAAAAAGUAACAACUGCCAUGGCCUGAAGUAUUCCCUUUUCUAUGAGAAGGAGUAUUUCAGGUCCAAGUAACUGGUUUAUAAGUGAAUUUUAUUCUAAGAACUUACACUUGUUAUAUGUCUGAAUUUUUACUAUCAUUUUUCCAAAGUUAAAAAAAUAUCAUCAAAACAUGUACAUACACAUAAACAUGAUUAGGCAAGUGUAACUGUAGGAAGCCAUGACCAGGUGGCCCAUCUUUAUAUAGGAAUAAUGUGGGUUAUGCUUUUAAGUAACGUGAUUUAGAUGCAUGACUAUUUGGCUGUUAAAGAAACUGGUAGUAUGGGAAAUGGAGUGUGCGUGUGAUGGUGGAAACAUGAGCAUGGAAGUAGGGAAGAGGAAAGUGUGGCAUCCAUAAAUAAUAAAACCUCCAAAAAGGUACUCAAAUGUUUUAAGUAUUUUUAAUUUUUAGGUAUGUUAUAUACUUGCAUAUUUUUUAAGGGUACCUCAAAAAUGUCCCUUUUAAUAACAAAUCAUCACUUUUCUCAUAUGCAUGACCUUAAAUAUAAAAAUCUCAAGAGCUGGCAAACCUUUUCUGAAUUCUAACAUUCAAAUGACCGCUACUAUGUAAAACCAACCCUGUUUGGUGUGGGUGGCAAUAGAUGUUUCUCGCUCACCCUCUCCCU